GACUCGGUGGUUCAGUGUUAGCAUGCUCGCCUACCACGCGGGCGGCUCGGGUUCAAUUCCCGUCCGACGCA
rfam:Heligmosomoides polygyrus genome assembly, scaffold: HPBE_scaffold0000382